rnacentral:rRNA from 1 species
UACGGAGGAUCCAAGCGUUAUCCGGAUUUAUUGGGUUUAAAGGGUGCGUAGGCGGCUUAUUAAGUCAGGGGUGAAAGACGGUGGCUCAACCAUCGCAGUGCCUUUGAUACUGAUGAGCUUGAAUACACUUGAGGUAGGCGGAAUGUGACAAGUAGCGGUGAAAUGCAUAGAUAUGUUACAGAACACCAAUUGCGAAGGCAGCUUACUAAGGUGCAAUUGACGCUGAGGCACGAAAGCGUGGGGAUCAAACAGG